AGUUAAGCGUGCUUGGGCGAGAGUAGUACUAGGAUGGGUGUGGGAAGUCCUCGUGUUGCAUUCC
rnacentral:rRNA from 1 species